CCACAUUGGGACUGAGAUACGGCCCAGACUCCUACGGGAGGCAGCAGUGGGGAAUAUUGCACAAUGGGGGAAACCCUGAUGCAGCAACGCCGCGUGAAGGAUGACGGUUUUCGGAUUGUAAACUUCUUUUCUUAGUGACGAAGACAGUGACGGUAGCUAAGGAAUAAGCAUCGGCUAACUACGUGCCAGCAGCCGCGGUAAUACGUAGGAUGCAAGCGUUAUCCGGAUUUACUGGGUGUAAAGGGAGCGCAGGCGGGACUGCAAGUUGGAUGUGAAAUACCGUGGCUUAACCACGGAACUGCAUCCAAAACUGUAGUUCUUGAGUGAAGUAGAGGCAAGCGGAAUUCCGAGUGUAGCGGUGAAAUGCGUAGAUAUUCGGAGGAACACCAGUGGCGAAGGCGGCUUGCUGGGCUUUAACUGACGCUGAGGCUCGAAAGUGUGGGGAGCAAACAGGAUUAGAUACCCUGGUAGUCCACACUGUAAACGAUGAUAGCUAGGUGUGGGGGGUCUGACCCCUUCCGUGCCGGAGUUAACGCAAUAAGCUAUCCACCUGGGGAGUACGACCGCAAGGUUGAAACUCAAAGGAAUUGACGGGGGCCCGCACAAGCAGUGGAUUAUGUGGUUUAAUUCGAAGCAACGCGAAGAACCUUACCAGGUCUUGACAUCCGACUAACGAGAUAGAGAUAUGUCAGGUGCCCUUCGGGGAAAGUCGAGACAGGUGGUGCAUGGUUGUCGUCAGCUCGUGUCGUGAGAUGUUGGGUUAAGUCCCGCAACGAGCGCAACCCCUGCCAUUAGUUGCUACGCAAGAGCACUCUAAUGGGACCGCUACCGACAAGGUGGAGGAAGGUGGGGACGACGUCAAAUCAUCAUGCCCCUUAUGACCUGGGCUACACACGUAAUACAAUGGCCGUUAACAGAGGGAAGCAAAGCGGUGACGCAGAGCAAAACCCUAAAAACGGUCCCAGUUCGGACUGUAGGCUGCAACCCGCCUACACGAAGUUGGAAUUGCUAGUAAUCGCGGAUCAGCAUGCCGCGGUGAAUACGUUCCCGGGCCUUGUACACACCGCCCGUCACACCAUGGGAGUUUGUAACACCCGAAGUCAGUGACCCAACCGCAAGGAGGGAGCUGCCGAAGGUGGGAUAAGCGACUGGGGUGAAGUCGUAACAAGGUAGCCGUAGGAGAACCUGCGGCUG
rnacentral:rRNA from 1 species